UACGUAGGGGGCAAGCGUUGUCCGGAAUCAUUGGGCGUAAAGAGCGUGUAGGCGGCCCGAUAAGUCCGCUGUGAAAGUCCAGGGCUCAACCCUGGGAUGCCGGUGGAUACUGUCGGGCUCGAGUCCGGAAGAGGAGUGUGGAAUUCCUGGUGUAGCGGUGAAAUGCGUAGAUAUCUGGAGGAACACCGGUGGCGAAGGCGGCAUCCUGGACCAACACUGACACUGAGGAGCGAAAGCCAGGGGAGCAAACGGG
rnacentral:rRNA from 1 species